GCUGUUGUGCAGUUUAACCAACAGAAUAAAAGCAGCCAUGGCAUUGACAAGGAUUCUGGGACUACUUUUGGCACUGGCAUUGUUUGAGUUUUUAGCAAGUGCACGGGAAGGCUUAGAUUCUGUUGACUUCCCCCCUGGCCGUCCCACAACUGAGAAUAUCAGUUAAGAGGUUUGUCGCCACAGUAAGACAAGGCCUCGGUACCCUGACCUCCCUAACUAUGACAAGAUUUUGGCCAUUCACCGCACUGAGGCCUGGUACAGCCAGCAGUGUUGCCAGGGAAACUGGGAACAGAACAUGAAAAAAACAGUGUGCUGCGCUCAAGAUGCGUGGGAGACGGCGCUGGCUCUGCUGUGUGAGGAGGAAGCAAGAAUCAAGACCAGGCAGCGCAAGUGUUGUCUGAAGAGGAAAGCAGACAGGUGGCAAUGCUUUACCAGCAUGGCGCCCAACCCCUCUUACCAAACCACCACCCCAUACUCUGGACCGGACGUCCUGCCCACAGGCCCUGCUUUUGAGUUCCCCAGCACCUGCUCCACCAUGGAACAGCAUCAGACAUAUGCAGGGCAGAAAACAAAGUGAUAUUUACAAACCAUAUUUCCAAUCUUUGUCACCAUUGCUUUGCACUAUACUCCACAGGGCCCUGGGCCUGGUCCUGGGCUGACAAGUUUGC